rnacentral:rRNA from 1 species
UCGAGGAUCAUUCGCAAUGCGCGAAAGCGUGACGAUGCGACGCCGCGUGGGUGAUGAAGGUCUUCGGACUGUAAAACCCUGUCGUCAGGGACGAAGGUGUGCAUGUUAAUAGCGUGUGCACUUGACGGUACCUGGAGAGGAAGCCCCGGCUAACUCUGUGCCAGCAGCCGCGGUAAUACAGAGGGGGCAAGCGUUAUUCGGAAUUAUUGGGCGUAAAGGGCGCGUAGGCGGUUUUUUAAGUCAGAUGUGCAAUCCCCGAGCUCAACUUGGGAACUGCAUCUGAGACUGGAAGGCUAGAGUACUGGAGAGGGUGGUGGAAUUCCUCGUGUAGCGGUGAAAUGCGUAGAGAUGAGGAGGAACACCAGUGGCGAAGGCGGCCACCUGGACAGUAACUGACGCUGAGGCGCGAAAGUGUGGGUAGCAAACAGG